rnacentral:rRNA from 1 species
UACGAAGGGGGCUAGCGUUGCUCGGAAUUACUGGGCGUAAAGGGCGCGUAGGCGGAUGUUUAAGUCAGAGGUCAAAUCCCGGGGCUCAACCUCGGAACUGCCUUUGAUACUGGACAUCUAGAGUACGGGAGAGGUGUGUGGAACUCCGAGUGUAGAGGUGAAAUUCGUAGAUAUUCGGAAGAACACCAGUGGCGAAGGCGACACACUGGCCCGUUACUGACGCUGAGGCGCGAAAGCGUGGGGAUCAAACAGG